AAGAGACUCUUAAACAUGGAGAACAAACAGGGUUACUGGAGGGGUUGUGGGAGGGUGGAUGGGCUAAAUAGGUAAGAGGCACUAAAAAAUCUACUGCUGAAAUCAUUGUUUCACUAUAUGCUAACUAAUUUGGAUGUAAAUUU